rnacentral:rRNA from 1 species
GACGUAGGGCGCGAGCGUUGUCCGGAUUUAUUGGGCGUAAAGAGCUCGUAGGCGGCUUGUUGCGUCGGCUGUGAAAACCCAUGGCUCAACCGUGGGCUUGCAGCCGAUACGGGCAGGCUAGAGUUCGGUAGGGGAGACUGGAAUUCCUGGUGUAGCGGUGAAAUGCGCAGAUAUCAGGAGGAACACCGGUGGCGAAGGCGGGUCUCUGGGCCGAUACUGACGCUGAGGCGCGAAAGCUAGGGGAGCGAACGGG